rnacentral:RNase_P_RNA from 3 species
ACGUUCAGGUAAUCGCUGCAGUCUUUAGGAUUGUAGAGGAAAGUCCAUGCUCGCACGGUGCUGAGAUGCCCGUAGUGUUCGUGCCUAGCGAAUUCAUAAGCUAGGGCAGCAAUGAGCUUUUAGCUCGGCUGACGGCAGGGAAAAAGCCUAAGUCUUCGGAUAUGGCUUGACUACCUUGAAAGUGCCACAGUGACGAAGUCUUACAAGAAAUUGUAAGAGUGGAACGAGGUAAACCCCACGAGCGAGAAACCCAAAUUAUGGUAGGGGCACCUUCUUGGAGGAACCAAACGAAGAGAAGGACAGAAGCUUUACAAGCAUCUGUAGAUAGAUGAUUACCACCUGAGUACGAGGCUUUGCCGCUUGUAGUACGAUGGAACAAAACAUGGCUUAUCGAA